UAAGGCAAAGAUACAGAAGGUCAAAAGGAAGUUCACCCUGAUAAGUCCCUUAGAAGAAGGUCCAGAGGCCAGAGCUGGAAGCAGCAGCAGACACUCUUGUUUUGGCCUAAAAACAAUAAAUUGCCACGUUGUGGAGCGGAGCAGCUUUAGGAGACUCCAGUGAACCUACACCCGACUCCUGAGCCACAGAAGCUGAUCAGGGCAGAGCCAAGAGGAGGCAAAAACAUGUACCAACCAGAGGAAUAAAAAUCCACCACGGAGGAGGAAAGGAGGAAAGGAAGCCAGGUUCUGCCCUGAUGAGCCCCUGGGGGCAGGAUGGUGACACCAGCACAUCUGGGGAAAUAUUCCCAAGAAGGGUGCUUUCUGACAUCUGGGCCAAAGCAAAAGAGAUCAUGUGAGUGCAAUUACACACGUCUCAGGAAGAUACUACUGACUUCUCUGUGUCAUCUUCAGAUUCUAAACUUUCCCACACAGACUCAGACUCAUCCUACACUCUGGACUCCACCUUCUCAGAAAGCUCUUCUGGAAGCCAAAUGUCAGCCCCUCCACGGGAUCAUG